rnacentral:rRNA from 1 species
CUUCUGAUCAGUGGCGAACGGGUGAGUAACACGGUGAGCAACCUACCCUUGACCCUGGGGAUAACAGCUGGAAACAGCUGCUAAUACCGGAUAUGAACUCAGCAGGGCAGUCUGCAGAGUUGGAAAGCUCCGACGGUCAGGGGAUGGGGCUCGCGGCCGUAUCGAGCUUGUUGGCGAGUAACGGCUCACCAAGGCGACGACGGGUAGCCGGCCUGAGAGGGCGACCGGCCACACUGGGACUGAGAUACGGCCCAG